AGUUUAUUCCAUCACUGCUACAAGCCUGAACCAAGAACGUUGCCAUUACUAUGAGGAAGUUCCAGAGAAGAAACCGAACUGGAUGGAACAACUGUCAGUGAGCUGGGUGAGAUGAACUGCGGGGGAGUGGGGAGAAGUAAAUCUGGAGGAAAGAAAACUAAGUGGGUGAAAUCCACCCCUGCGCAGAGGCUCUGCAUCUGUGCACCACGAGGUGUCAUGUCCUGGUCAACCAAAGAAGAACCAUCAACACCAGAGCAAGCAUUGUGGAACAUCAAAGGACCAAAGACUUUGUUGAUUGCACCCCCAGCUCCCCCCUGAAGAGGAGACGUGCAACUGAAUUCCUCCCAACACCUGACCUUGCAAUUUGAAGAAGAAGAGGGGAAGAAUAAAAAGUCCUAACAAGGAAGAUGCUGCUUGGACUCUG